UUCCAGCUCCAAUAGCGUAUAUUAAUGUUGCUGCAGUUAAAAAGCUCGUAGUUGGAUUUCUGGUAUGAUGCGCCUGGUCCGCCCCGUUUAGGUGUGUGAGUACCGGUGCGCGUCUGCCAUCCUUCUAGAGAGCGUGUCUACCCUUCACUGGGCCGGGCACGUCAUCUGGAUCGUUUACUUUGAAAAAAUUAGAGUGUUUCAAGCAGGCAUACUCGCUUUGAAUACAUUAGCAUGGAAUAAUAAGAUAGGACUUGGGUUCUAUUUUGUUGGUUUCUAGGACCGAAGUAAUGAUUGAUAGGGACAGUUGGGGGUGCUAGUAUUCCGCGGCCAGAGGUGAAAUUCUUGGAUUCGUGGAAGACUAACUAAUGCGAAAGCAUUCACCAAGGAUGUCUUCAUUA
rnacentral:rRNA from 1 species